rnacentral:lncRNA from 1 species
AUUCACACAAUUUGUCAUUCAUUCAUUCAUUAAACAUGUAUAAUGUUCAUUACAAAAGAAACAUAAAAAAAUUCAUUUUUUACAAAUGUUAACUUUUGGUCAAUUGUUGACUAUUUGGUCAACUAGUUGACCAAAGUCAACCAUCACAUUUUCAUCCUAAAAUCUCAAUAUUAAUCACAUAUGCACCAUUGCAUCAUUCCUAGAUCUUCCAUGACCACCACUUCCUCCAUUGAUCAAGUUUCUCCAACUUUGGUCAUGCCUUGAAGUUGUUUUUUGCCUUGCAUGGUGACCUGUAAAUCUUGCCCUCCAAGCCUCACAAUCCUGCAUACAAACACUAGCCAACCAUUUAACAUGAUACAUCCGAACAUUU